GAUAUACCCACUGUAUUGGACCCAAACACCUUCCUGAAAAUUGUUCUGAAGGGGUUAGCACAAGGAAACUAUUGUUAUGACUUGCGAGGUCUGCUGGAGGUGACCGGAUCCGGAUGACUUGAGCAAAGCUGUGAAAAUUCACGGCAAGGGAUGGGGGUACAAGGCAUGGGUCUGCGGCGCCACACCUUGCUGUUCCCUGCCGGUGGCCAGCGAGUUGUGGCGGUGCUUCUCUGUUGCAUGGCGAGGGACUGGGGUGCAAGGCGUGCAUCUGCAGUGCCACUCCUGGGGCAUGCCUCUCCCGCGACAUUGCCGGCAUACACAACAUACCUUACUACACGGGGAUUUCCUCUCUGAACUAAAUAUUAUGUCAGAACUGAAUAUUACGUCCGAAGACUGAAACAUCCAGAAAGCUUAUUGAGACUAUUCAUUGAUGGUGUUUCUCUACUACACGAGGAAGACAAUCUUGUUGUAUGAUUGUUUUCAUGGCCUUCAAAGGAGAGAUAUCCUAGAAGUUGACUGCAGUUGGAGGGGCCUCAGUCCUUUUGAGCCAAGAAAAGUUGAUGGGGCCUGUCCAAGCUAUGAAUAGUAUAUGGGAAAGUGUUGAAAUAUUUUGUGUUUCCAUGGUUUCUAAAUGGUAGGAGGUAUGUGUAGUAACCUGUACGGUUUCAAGUGCCUAAUUUCAUGUGUAAAAGUUUGCCAGGGAAUUCUGGUUGUAGAAUCUUGGAAUAAGGAAACA